rnacentral:rRNA from 1 species
UACAGAGGGUGCGAGCGUUAAUCGGAAUUACUGGGCGUAAAGCGUGCGCAGACGGUCAUGUAAGUCGGGGGUGAAAGCCCCGGGCUCAACCUGGGAAUGGCAUUUGAUACUCGAGGGCUUGAGUACGGGAGAGGAGAGUGGAAUUCCCAGUGUAGAGGUGAAAUUCGUAGAUAUUGGGAAGAACACCGGUGGCGAAGGCGGCUCUCUGGACCGUAACUGACGCUGAGGCGCGAAAGCGUGGGGAGCAAACAGG